GAAUUGACUCUUACCAACUAUUAUUUUAGAUAUGAAAAAAAGUAUACAUCAAACAAGAGAGAAUGGUGAUGGGUUCAACUUAACUUUAACUUAUGCAACUGUUUUACAUACAAGUAAUAAUGAGCAAAGAUUUUGCUAAGUUACAAUAGUUUCUUCUUGAUAUAUGAUAGAUUUGUGGAUAACGUCUUCAUUGUGUGGAAUGGACCCAUUUCUAGUAUGCUCAUAGUUGAGGAUUUGAGGAACGAGGGCACCCAUAUUCAAUUAGGUUUAACAUACAAUUUUGAAAACCAACUGUAAAACCAUGCUGGAUACACUUUGUAUAUAUAAAAAGUGUCAGACUGUAAUGCAUUGUUACACGCCAAUAUAUUUCAUCCAUCAUCUCUCAAAAACUCUCUUACAAUUUUUAAGGAUGCUAAUGAACAAUUCUGAUACAGUGUGAUGUGAGCAACAAAUUGAGGC